UACGAAGGGUGCAAGCGUUACUCGGAAUUACUGGGCGUAAAGCGUGCGUAGGUGGUUCGUUAAGUCUGAUGUGAAAGCCCUGGGCUCAACCUGGGAAUGGCAUUGGAUAACUGGCGACCUAGAGUGCGGGUAGAGGGGUGUGGAAUUCCCGGUGUAGCAGUAGAAAUGGCGUAGAUAUCGGGAGGAACAUCUGUGGCGAAGGCGACACCCUGGACCAGCACUGACACUGAGGCACGAAAGCGUGGGGAGCA
rnacentral:rRNA from 1 species